rnacentral:lncRNA from 1 species
CUGUACGACAUACACACACAUAGAUACAUGACGACGGAUCACGUACGAAGCCACGUAUACGGAACCCGUGGCCCCCUUAUUCAACACACGCAUACAUGUAUGUACGUACGCAGGAAAGCCAAAAUACACACACCGGGCGCGCGGGCCCGCCUCUCAGUCUCACACUCUCACACACGCGCAGCAUAUAUAUACGCGGAGAAAUUAAGAAGCGCAUACUAUGUAGACAAGAGAUACACGUCGGUGCUGGUGCAGAUGAGCUAGAUCAGCCGAAGAGGUGGUGGUGCUUCUUCUCGCCGCCGGCCUCCUCGGCGUCCUUGUGGUCCUUCUUCUUCUCGUGGUGCUCGUGGAAGGCGAAGCCGCCGGAGCCCACGGCCGCCGCCGCCGCGACCUCCUCCUCGAUCUUGUGCCGGUGCGCGUGCUCGGGGUCCUUCUUCGCCUCGUGCUUCUCGUACUGCAUGCACACAAGGAAUUAUUUAACUCAGAGCCAAAGUUCAUUCGCGUCGCGGCCGAUAGAUCACACAGUGAAAUUAAAGAUUGAUCAGCACAACGAAGGAAGCACGAAAGAUCGAGGAGGAGGAGGACGUACAAGAGCGAAGGCGCCGGCGGCGACGGCGCCUGCCUCGCCGAGGUGCUGCUUGUGCUUGUGCUCCUUCUCCUCCUUCUUGUACGUGUCGUACUCGUCCUCGCCGGUGGACACCACCUCCGUCACGGUCGCCUCCGUGUACUCGCCGUACCCGCCGGCGGGCUGCUCCGCCGCCUCAUCGUCCUUCUUGUGGUUGAAGAGGUGGUGGUGGUGGUGCUUCUCCUCCGCCAUGGAUGAAACGGGACGGCCUUGUUGAAGCGCGAGAGUGACAAUAGGAUGGUGGUGCUUGCUUGGUAGCUGAUGUGUUUGGCUUACUUGUGUUGCUGCUU